rnacentral:lncRNA from 1 species
AUCUGAAUGCAUGCCAGCCCUACCCUCACCCCAAGCCACAGCAAGGGGCUGGCACUCACCUGAACGCAGAACCGCAGUGGACAGACCAUCUUGUGACCCUGGACACCCUGAUCUCUUCUAGGAAAGGAAGACCAACAUGAACAUUGAAGAUGGGCCCCCAAUGGACACGUCUGCAAUGUGUGAGGAUCAUUAAGGAAGAGGGGCAGAACGAUGUCAAUGGCCAGAGGCCCAGGAAGUCAGCUGUGAGACUGUGUCUCCCAGACAGAAACCCCACCCAAGAUACCUCGACAAUAUGGUUGCCAGAAUAAGACCCGAACAAGGGCAAAAGCAAUCGUCACACCAACCAAAAAGAGGGAAAUAUCUCAGAGCUCCACUCACAGAUGAAGAAUUACAGAACAGAGAAUGAAUCAGCUUGCUACACAGAUGGAUAAGGUGUCCCCCAAGAUGUUCUUGAUGAGUAAGUAAACCUUUCCAGGAGAUGGUCACACAGCAAAGGAAGAUGUCAGCAGAGAAACAAUGGCGUCUUCACUCAAUAUCACCACUGCCUUAUUCCAGAGAAAGAAGCUCCCAUGCAAGACCUUGCUAUCCCUUCUCUGUAUGCAGUGUCUUCGGAGGAGAUCUGCCCAUUGUGAUAUAGGAUCCUUAGCUAAUCUGUUGAGAUACUCCCCUAAAUGAACAAACAGAGAUGCUCCUGUAAUGUCGACUUAUAAUGGAUUUUUUUUCAUUGAUUAUGAGAUUAGAGUCUCAGCCCAAAUUGGCCCAUUUAGAAAAACAACAAUAAAGAAUUUUUGAAUUCUUCUGUUUUUGGAG